UACGUAGGGCGCAAGCGUUAUCCGGAAUUAUUGGGCGUAAAGAGCUCGUAGGCGGUUUGUCGCGUCUGCCGUGAAAGUCCGGGGCUUAACCCCGGAUCUGCGGUGGGUACGGGCAGACUAGAGUGCAGUAGGGGAGACUGGAAUUCCUGGUGUAGCGGUGAAAUGCGUAGAUAUCAGGAGGAACACCGAUGGCGAAGGCAGGUCUCUGGGCUGUAACUGACGCUGAGGAGCGAAAGCAUGGGGAGCGAACAGG
rnacentral:rRNA from 1 species